UACGGAGGGUGCAAGCGUUAUCCGGAAUGAUUGGGCGUAAAGCGUCCGUAGGUGGUUUUUUAAGUCUGCGGUUAAAGCAUGGAGCUUAACUCCAUCCAGGCCGUGGAAACUGGAAGCCCAGAGGCAAGUAGGGGUAGAGGGAAUUCCCAGUGUAGCGGUGAAAUGCGUAGAGAUUGGGAAGAACACCGGUGGCGAAAGCGCUCUACUGGACUUGAACUGACACUGAGGGACGAAAGCUAGGGGAGCGAAAGGG
rnacentral:misc_RNA from 1 species